AAAAAUUUAGUUAAUUAAUAACGUCAACUUGUCAAGUUGAAGUAAAUAUAAUAAUAUUAAUUUUUA
rnacentral:tRNA from 1 species